rnacentral:misc_RNA from 1 species
AAGUCGUAACAAGGUUUCCGUAGGUGAACCUGCGGAAGGAUCAUUAACCACCAGGUAGGAGCAAUUUCAAAUUGGGGUGAUUAAGGGGCGUGGUGACCCUGUGACAUGUCUGCCGGUCGGUGGUCGACCUCUGGCAACCGUGAGGCGUUAUCCUUACACAAUCAGUGACACUGUCAUUCACUAACUGCUUGGGGAAGCCAUGCCACUGCCUCUACCGCUCAAUUGUAACACCUUUUGGACAGAGGUCCCGAAUCAAAACUGUUUGCAAUGAUUUACCGGAUUGCUGUUCCUCAUGGUUACAAGAGCAGGCUGAAAGUUCACAGGGUUGUUUAACGUUGGAUACGUGUUGUAACGCACUGGGUCAAAAAAACCGAACAACUGUUAACAAUGGAUAUCUUGGUUCUC